rnacentral:tRNA from 1 species
CGCGGGGUGGAGCAGUCUGGUAGCUCGUCGGGCUCAUAANNCAUAACCCGAAGGUCGCAGGUUCGAAUCCUGCCCCCGCUA